AGUUGUGGUGCUGUACGUUCUGCAGAGUUCAGUGUGAAGAGAUGGAGCUAACACAGGGUGGUCAGGUUGUCAAGGCAACUGUACAAUGCCCCUUUUCUAAUUGAUAGGACUCAUAGAACUAGCUAGGCGUCAUCUUGUUGCUUUAGAAACUCGACUGCCCAGCAUGAGUUGCAUCUCUGUACGCCACACUGUGCAUAUGGCACUGAAGCUAUGGCACUGAAACUCUGGAGCACGAACAUUGUAACUUGAAAAUGCUGUAGCUUGACAACAUAGCUCAGCCUUUGCUGUUUAUGGGGGUUGAUGGAUUCAGCAUGACCACAUCUGCUUUCUCACCUGUUUUCCGGUUUAAAAAAAGAAGACAAUGUUUGAAAAUUUUGAGGGAACAUAUAUCAAUGUUUCUGAUUCA